rnacentral:rRNA from 1 species
UCAGUCGACUCCUACGGGGAGGCAGCAGUGGGGAAUAUUGCACAAUGGGGGAAACCCUGAUGCAGCCAUGCCGCGUGUGUGAAGAAGGCCUUCGGGUUGUAAAGCACUUUCAGUAGGGAGGAAGGUAGUGUAGUUAACACCUGCACUAUUUAGUACGUUACCUACAGAAGAAGCACCGGCUAACUCCGUGCCAGCAGCCGCGGUAAUACGGAGGGUGCGAGCGUUAAUCGGAAUUACUGGGCGUAAAGCGCAUGCAGGCGGCCUGUUAAGUCAGAUGUGAAAGCCCGGGGCUUAACCUCGGAAUUGCAUUUGAAACUGGCAGGCUAGAGUCUUGUAGAGGGGGGUAGGAAUUUCAGGUGUAGCGGUGAAAUGCGUAGAGAUCUGAAGGAAUACCAGUGGCGAAGGCGGCCCCCUGGACAAAGACUGACGCUCAGAUGCGAAAGCGUGGGGAGCAAACAGGAUUAGAUACCCUGGUAG